rnacentral:rRNA from 1 species
UCGGAAUUGCUAGUAAUCGCGGAUCAGCAUGCCGCGGUGAAUACGUUCCCGGGCCUUGUACACACCGCCCGUCACACCAUGGGAGCCGGUAACACCCGAAGUCAGUAGCCUGACCAAUUCUGGAGGGCGCUUGCCGAAGGUGGGAUUGGUGACUGGGGUGAAGUCGUAACAAGGUACC